rnacentral:piRNA from 1 species
UUGGCCCUGAGUGGGAUGACACGUGCUAAU